CUACGGGGGGCUGCAGUGAGGAAUAUUGCACAAUGGGGGGAACCCUGAUGCAGCAACGCCGCGUGGAGGAUGACGCAUUUCGGUGUGUAAACUCCUUUUAUAUGUCAAGAAAAUGACGGUAGCAUAUGAAUAAGCACCGGCUAACUCCGUGCCAGCAGCCGCGGUAAUACGGAGGGUGCAAGCGUUACUCGGAAUCACUGGGCGUAAAGGACGCGUAGGCGGGCUUGUAAGUCAGGUGUGAAAUCCUACAGCUUAACUGUAGAACUGCACUUGAAACUACGAGCCUAGAGUAUGGGAGGGGGAGAUGGAAUUAGUGGUGUAGGGGUAAAAUCCGUAGAUAUCACUAGGAAUACCUAAAGCGAAGGCGAUCUCCUGGAACAUUACUGACGCUAAGGCGUGAAAGCGUGGGGAGCAAACAGGAUUAGAUACCCGAGUAGUC
rnacentral:rRNA from 1 species